rnacentral:antisense_RNA from 1 species
GCUCACCUGCACCAGCCUCCGGAGCAGGGGGCUGCGGCUGCGGGCGCCGCUGCGCAGAAGUGCCGCCAGCACAGCCAUGGUCGCAGAGGGCUGACUAUCGGCUCCUCAGGCGUAGACUAGAGGCCUCCUCCCCAACCCCGCACCCCUAGCGGCCCGGCGCGGGCACCGCCCAUCCCGCCUCCUCCAAUAGUCGCCUCUCAGUCGGCGGCGAUUGGCCGGCAGCCAAGGGCGGGGCGGAGCCUGGCGCUGGGACACCGCAGCCUGGGCGAGGAAAGGUUGACGAGUGAAGGACGUGGAUGGAGACGCUGGCGCUGGGGUCAACGAGCACCUGACACGCCGCUGGUUCCCGUGUCCACCAAGUCUAACUUGCCGGGGCCGGUGGUUUAUGUAUAAGUAGAGCAAAUCAAAGUUUGGAUCAGCGCUCCUGAAGUUAGGCCAUGACCAAUCCACAAAGCAAGCUGUUACUCAUUUUACUCACUCCAGGACAUCACUAUUAAAGAUUUCUAAGCUUGGGUUUUAUCCCUGCUCGGCACCAAUUUUAAGUGUACGUUGGAGAGAAGAGACCUGAAUAAAGGAUGCCAACUGUGAUUCCAGACCUUUACAAACUGCUGGUGACUGAUUCAAACCUGAGGCUACAAAUCCCUAAUCAUGAGACCUUAAAAUACCAAAAUACUUCUAUGCUACAGAUUAAGAGAUCAGUUACAUAACUAUAUCAGAGCAGGAGAUUUCUGUGUUGUUUUUAAUAAAUUCAGAUAUGGCAUAAUAAAUAUUAGGUAUAUAAACAUUAAGUGUGUUAGUAAACACACAAUAUGUUUAGUAAACACACUUAAUAUGUUUGUUUUGCUAUUUUGGCUCUGCAAUCAUAAUGACCUACCUAUCUCCAUAAAUUUUUUAAACUAUUGAAGCAACAAUUAAUAUAAGCUUCAUUUUUCAAAACAAGCUCUCCAGCCAUAUUUAAAAAAAAA